CCUACGGGAGACAGCCGUGAGGAAUCUUGGUCAAUUGGCGCGAGCCUGAACCAGCCAAGUAGCGUGAAGGAUGACUGCCCUACGGGUUGUAAACUUCUUUUAUAACGUACUAAAGUGAGGCACGUGUGCCUUUUUGUAUGUACUUUAUGAAUAAGGAUCGGCUAACUCCGUGCCAGUAGCCGCGGUAAUACGGAGGAUCCGAGCGUUAUACGGAUUUAUUGGGUUUAAAUGGAGCGUAGAUGGGUUGUUAAGUCAGUUGUGAAAGUUUGCGGCUCAACCGUAAAAUUGCAAUUGAUACUGGCAGCCUUGAGUACAGUUGAGGUAGGCGGAAUUCGUGGUGUAGCGGUGAAAUGCUUAGAUAUCACGAAGAACUCCGAUUGCGAAGGCAGCCUACUAAACUGCCACUGACAUUGAUGCUCGAAAGUGUGGGUAUCAAACAGGAUUAGAUACCCAGUAGUC
rnacentral:rRNA from 1 species